UGGCGGACGGGUGAGUAACGCGUAGGAAUCUAUCUUUGGGUGGGGGACAACCGUGGGAAACUACGGCUAAUACCGCAUGAGGCCUGAGGGCCAAAGCUUGUGAGAGCGCCUGAGGAGGAGCCUGCGUCCGAUUAGCUAGUUGGUGGGGUAAAGGCCUACCAAGGCUGCGAUCGGUAGCUGGUCUGAGAGGAUGAUCAGCCACACUGGGACUGAGACACGGCCCAG
rnacentral:rRNA from 1 species